rnacentral:rRNA from 1 species
UGAAUACGAGACGCUAAGGCGUCGAAGUAGUGUAUGUCAUACUUCCAAGAAAAGCUUGCACUGUCAUAAAUAAAAAGUGCCUGUACCAUAACCGACACAGGUGGGUAGGUAGAGUAUACUAAGGGGCGCGAGAUAACUCUCUCUAAGGAACUCGGCAAAAUAACUCCGUAACUUCGGGAGAAGGAGUGCCUUAUUCUUAAGGUUGCAAUAACAAGAUCCAAGCAACUGUUUAUCAAAAACACAGGUCUCCGCUAAGUCGCAAGACGAUGUAUGGGGGCUGACGCCUGCCCAGUGCCAGAAGGUUAAAGAAGUUGGUUAGCUUUUGCGAAGCUGAUAACUGAAGCCCUGGUGAACGGCGGCCGUAACAAUAACGGUCCUAAGGUAGCGAAAUUCCUUGUCGGGUAAGUUCCGACCCGCACGAAAGGCGUAAUGAUUUGGAUACUGUCUCGGAGAGGGGCUCGGUGAAAUAGACUUGUCUGUGAAGAUGCGGACUACCUGCACCAGGACAGAAAGACCCUAUGAAGCUUUACUGUAACUUGAAAUUGAAAUUGGACUUUAUUCGCGCAGUAUAGGUGGGAGGCGUUGAUUGUAAUCUUGCGGGAUUAUUGGAGCCAUCAGUGAGAUACCACUCUUGUAAUGUUAGAUUUCUAACUUUGUAUCAUUAUCUGGUCAAAGAACAGUUUCAGGCGGGCAGUUUGACUGGGGCGGUCGCCUCCUAAACGGUAACGGAGGCGUACAAAGGUUUCCUCUGAACGGUUAGAAAUCGUAUCUAGAGUGUAAAGGCAUAAGGAAGCUUGACUGUGAGACCUACAAGUCGAGCAGGGACGAAAGUCGGUCUUAGUGAUCUGACGGUACUGAGUGGAAAGGCCGUCACUCAACGGAUAAAAGUUACUCUAGGAUAACAGGCUGAUCUCCCCCAAGAGUUCACAUCGACGGGGAGGUUUGGCACCUCGAUGUCGGCUCAUCGCAUCCUGGGGCGGUAGUACGUCCCAAGGGUUGGGCUGUUCGCCCAUGAAAGCGGUACGCGAGCUGGGUUCAGAACGUCGUGAGACAGUUCGGUCCAUAUCCGGUGUAGGCGUUAGAAUAUUGAGAGGAGCCUUCUUUAGUACGAGAGGACCGAGAAGGACAUACCUCUGGUGUACCAGUUAUCGUGCCAACGGUAAACGCUGGGUAGCUAUGUAUGGAGUGGAUAACCGCUGAAAGCAUCUAAGUGGGAAGCCCACCUCAAGAUAAG